UCGGUCGGCCUCGCUCAUCUUCUGCUCUAGCCGUGCAGUGGCCGUCGGCUCUGGUAGUUGCUUGGGCAGUCGUCCCUUCUCGGUUCAGCCACACUGCUGCUGGUCCAGAAUCGGCGAGGGUCGUUGGGAGUCGUCGUGCCCUUGGCUCUUCCCUGCACCUCUGCCUUGGCAACGAGGCGACAACCACCGUCUCUCGGCCAUCCAUACUUCCUCAUGGUUCACCCAUCGGUUCUUGGCUCAACGCUCAUACAAAAACCGAGUUCUCCCAGCUCGGCCCCACACUAAGGUGAAUAAUGAAGGAAGGUGGAUGAAUGAAAGCCAAAUCUCACCUUGGAGUUUCUGGCAGCAGCUUAGACUAUUUACUUCCCUUGGUUUGCUGGUGAUUAAGGGAGUGUUUUGGCUGAACUUGUAGGCUAGGAAGGCAAAGGGACGAUGGAGUGCACUUGAGUGAUGAGUGGUAGGAAAAAUGAUGAGUGAUGGGGGAAAGUGAUUGGGAAAGAGUGAAUGGUUGGGGUGAAAAAUGAGUGGUCAAAGAUUGAUGGAAAUAAAAAGAAAAAAAAAUAGAGAAGAAUUAAUGAUGUAUUUUCUAUGUCUCGGUGAUUCCGUAACUGAAAUAAAAUACUGGCUUCGAUUC